AUAGUUUGAUCAUGGCUCAGGACGAACGCUGGCGGCGUGCCUAACACAUGCAAGUCGAACGGAACUUCUUUAAAAGAUUUCUUCGGAAUGAUUUUGAUUAAGUUUAGUGGCGGACGGGUGAGUAACGCGUGAGUAACCUGCCUCUGAGAGGGGAAUAACAUUCUGAAAAGAAUGCUAAUACCGCAUAAUAUAUAUUUAUCGCAUGGUAGAUAUAUCAAAGAUUUAUCGCUUAGAGAUGGACUCGCGUCCG
rnacentral:rRNA from 1 species